rnacentral:rRNA from 1 species
GACAGAGGGUGCAAACGUUGUUCGGAAUCACUGGGCGUAAAGCGCGCGUAGGCGGCCUGCUAAGUCGAACGUGAAAUCCCUGGGCUCAACCCAGGAACUGCGUCCGAUACUGGUUGGCUUGAAUCCGGGAGAGGGAUGUGGAAUUCCAGGUGUAGCGGUGAAAUGCGUAGAUAUCUGGAGGAACACCGGUGGCGAAGGCGACAUCCUGGACCGGCAUUGACGCUGAGGCGCGAAAGCCAGGGGAGCAAACGGG